GGUGGCUCAGUGGGUAGAGCACAUCCCUUCCAUGCAUGAGGCCCUGGGUUUGACCCCCAACACCA
rnacentral:tRNA from 1 species